UGCACAACUUGCUGCUGUGGGGUCA
rnacentral:misc_RNA from 1 species